rnacentral:lncRNA from 1 species
CCCUGCUCCACCUUUUCCGCCUGACUGUUCUUCUCUGGGUCCCUCUGCCCCCUGGGGUCUCUUCUUUCCGGGAUUCCUCUGACGCUGACCCCCCCUGACUCUUCUCCCUCCUUUCGGCGGGCUUUAGGACCUGGCUCCCUUUCCGGGCUGCCUACUGUGCCACCUUCCUGUGCAUUUGAACUUGGCGCGCGCGCCCAACCUUCCACCUUCCGUCUGACCGUUUCUUCGCUCCCCGAUGGAGGUGUGGCCACCCUGACUCGUGCCCUCCCCCCUGUUGUGAGCUGCCAGCGCUUGAUCCCUGGCUCCCUUCCUCUUCCCUGCUCUCUGGCGGUGACGCUGGUCCCGAUUUCCAACUGCUCCCCUCUGAGUCCCCUCUGGCUCUAUCUUCCUGGGGCGUCCCCCUAGGCUCCCCUUGCCCUGGCCACUGGUGCUCCUUUCUGUGAAUCUUCUGAUUCACUGGAAAGACUCGGAGAUCUCGGGUCGUCGUCAUCACUCAUCUUUUCUUCUGCCUCCUCCCCUCGCUCUCUGUUUCCUCCCUUGCCCUUGCCUCUGCUCCUGAACCCCUGACAUCCAUCCCCCUCGAAGCCCCUCUUCCCCCUCCCCUCCUUCCGGUGCGGGAUCUGGGUGCUGCCGUGUCAGGGGACGAAUGUCGGAUACAGUUCGCUUCCCGUGGCGGGCCGCCAUCUGAAGUCUUCCGGUUCUUCCUCCCUGCUCUCGUUGACGACGGUCACCUCCGCUUCCAUCUCUGUGCCGCCGUGCUCGAAACCCGGGUCGUCCCCGAAAACGUCCAUGUCCGUCUCUCCCUCGUUACCUUCUGGAGACGUUGCUCGUCCUGGACCCUCCAGCCACCUUCUGCGGAACUGCUCCUCUGGUCGAUCAUCCCACCAAUACGAGGGUUCUGAAGCAGAUCCCGAGGGUGACACCUCCGGGGAACGGGCGUCUCGUGUCGGUUCCUCGUCCGAGUCGAACCCCCGGAACGUGCUGGCUGAAAGCGUGGGCGUGAAAAGCCAGUCGUCGAAAAGUCUGCUGGCAUUGGCCUAUGUGGGAAGAGGGCAUGAAACUCUUCUUUGAGCAGAGGUUCGUCUAAAGCGUAGCCCGGCACCCAGCUGUUGGCACUGGCCGGGGUGCCCUCCUUGGCGAGAAGGUAUUCUACCCCCUCUUCCCCCAUCUGGAGUCCAAAAUCUCCGUGGCUUCGUUGAUGCGCUCCUCCCGUGCCACUCCCCCCUGCCCGGUUCUCUCUCGGAGCGGACCCGGUGCCGUUCCUGGUUCCUGAAACCUGUGAGGUGCCUUGUAUGGAGUGAGCACCGAUCUGUGGAACACCGGAUGCAUCCUGGAACCCUCCGGAAGAGCCAGCCUGAAAGCCACCGGGUUGACCUGUUCUUCGACUUGGUAGGGCCCCAGUUGUUUAUGCCCUAGUUUCUUCUUCGCCAACGACCUGGCCGGCACUGCGUGGGCUGCUAACCAGACCCAGUCUCCCACAUGGAUCUCUUCGCCAACCCUUCUGUGUUUGUCCGCUUGUACCUUGUAUGCGUGUUUAGCCAGCUCCAGGUGCCGCCGCAGCUGAUCGUGGACCUCCUGCAACUCCGACGCGAAUGCAUCUGCUGUCUGCGGCUCCCCUCCCCCAUUCUUUCCAGUCCCGGGAAGGUUCUGGGGUGCCUCCCGUUGUUGGCGAAGAACGGCGUGACUCCCGUGGACACGUGCUUCGUGUUGUUGUAGGCGAACUCGGCGAGAGGCAGGUAAUCCACCCACGUCGCAGGCUGUUGAUUCGCAUAACAUCUCAGGUACUGCUGCAUGAUGGCAUUGACUCCGCUCCGCUUGCCCAUUGGUCUGCGGGUGUCUAGCCGACGCCAGGUUGAUCUUGACGUUCAGGAAGCCCAUCAGCCUCUGCCAGAAGUUCGAGAUGAACUGUCGCCCUCGGUCGGACAGAAUAGACCGCGGCAGACCGUGAACCUUGAACACGUGGUCUAUGAACAGUUUGGCGGUUUGUUCCGCCGUGGCCACCUUCGCACACGGAAUGAAAUGUGCCAUCUUGGAGAACAAGUCCACCACCACCAGCACAGCCGUCUUGCCCCUCGAGCUGGGCAGAUCCGUGACAAAGUCCAGGGCCACUCUCUCCCAUGGUUCGAACGGAGUUUGCAGCGGUUCCAGCAAUCCGGCCGGCGGUCUGUGCACUGGUUUGGCCCUCUGGCAGGUGUCACACCUCGCCACGUAGUCCGCGACUUCCCUCUCAUUCCUGGCCACCAGAAGUCUCUGGCUACUAAUUCCACCGUCUUCUCCUUGCCAAAGUGCCCGGCAGUGGGCGCGUCGUGCAGCUGCUGCAGUACCUUGGCGCGAAGUUCGUCUCCCGGCACGUAGAUGGCCCCUUUACGGAUGAGCAAACCAUCUCGCAGCUGGAACUCGUCGGUCGCUGCCGUGCCCCUGUGCGCCUCUGCCAUCUUUGCUUGCGCGAAGGAGUCAUCCUGCAACGCUCGUCGCACCGCCUCCAGGUCAACUGUUGCCGCCGUGCACGCCCACACUGUCGGUGCGAAGAUGUGCAUGGCGGCCGCUGGCGUUGCCUCCUCCAGAUACUGCGGCUUACGGGAGAGAGCAUCCGCCAUGAUGUUGGUGUCCCCGGGACAUACUCUAUUCGGAAGUCGAAAUUCGCAAAGAACUCAGCCCAACGUAUCUGCCUCUGGUUCAGGAACUGUGCCGUGCGCCAGUGCUCUAGAUUCUUGUGGUCCGUGCAGACCUGCACCGUGUGCUUGGCGCCGAUCAGGAAGUGCCUCCACGCUUUGAACGCUGCAUGAAUGGCCAGCAACUCCCUGUCCCAGAUGGUGUAGUUCUGUUCGGACUUGCUGAGCUUCCUUGAGUAAAACGCUCCCGGCCUCCAAACCCCCUGCGGGUCCUUCUGCAGCAGGACUGCUCCCACGGCUCUGUCCGAGCGUCUGUCUCCACCCUCAUCGGCUUGCUGGGGUUGACAUGAAGCAGUUGCCCUUCUGACGCGAAGAGACGCUUGAGUGCCUGGAAAGGACUGCUCCGCCUGCUCUGUCCAGAUGAACUUCUUUUCUUGGAGCUGAGCGUGUCCGUGAUGGCCGCUGUCUGCAUGGCAAAGCCUUUGAUAAACUUGCGAUAGAAGUUCGCAAAGCCGACAAACCGUUGGACCUCCUUCCGGUUGCGUGGGCUUUUCCAAUCCAACACUGCUCGGACCUUGGCGCUGUCCAUGGCGAGCCCUUUAUCAGACAACUUGUAGCCCAGGAAAUCCACCUCCGUCACGUCGAAUUGGCACUUCUCCAGCUUGGCGUAAAGCCUAUGUUGCUGUAGCCUGCUCAGCACUUCCUUGACGUGUCUGUCAUGCUCCUGCUGCGAUUCCGAAAAGAUCAGGAUGUCAUCCAAGAAACAGACGCACGUCUUGUAGAGGAGCCCCGCCAACACGUGAUGCAUGAACGCUUGAAAACGUGGGAACCAUUUUGCAAUCCAAAAGGCAUAACUCUAUAUUCGUAGGUGCCCAGGGGCGUGAACAUGGCUGUCUUCCACUCAUCUCCUUCCCGCAUGCGAAUGAGGUUGUACGCCCUCGCAGGUCCAACUUAGUGAACACGCUGCCCUUCCGUACCUUUGCGAGGAGGUCGUCGAUUCGGGGCAUGGGGAAGUCCGAUGGCUUGGUCACGCUGUUCAAAAUGCGAUAGUCCACUACAAGUCUUUUCUGGGGCGUGUCCCGCUUCUUAACAAAGAAUACCGGACUGCCACCCGCUGCCUUGGACUCUCGGAUGAAACCGCGCUCCAAAUUAUGAUCUAUGAACUCUUUGAGUUCCUGCAGUUCGUCCUCAGACAUGGAAUACAGCUUCCCUUUGGGCAGCGCCGCCCCCGGCAGCAGGUCAAUUUUGCAGUCAUAUGGUCUGUGGGGGUAGCCUGUCUGCCUCCUUCUCGCAGAAAACCUCCAAAAAUUCUGCGUACUUGUGGGGAACCGCUUGCAGCGUGCCUAGCUGCAGCUGUGACUCCUCUUCCUCUCCUUCCUGCCGGGGCACGAUGCAGUGUUCAGCGCAAAAGGAAGAGCCGAAGGUCAGCUGCCUCUGGUACCAAGCCAGCGUCGGGCUGUGCUUGUCCAGCCAACUCAUGCCCAAUACAAUGGGCGUGUCCGAUAGUUGAGUGACAUUGAAGCUGAUGAUUUCCCUGUGAUUCCCAAGCCGCAUCACCAUUGGUGGCGUCUGCUUCACCACUUGCCCCCCUAGCAGCUCCCUGCCAUCCACCGUGACAACCUGCAGGGGCAGCGUGGCAGGCAGCAACUGUAUAGCGUGCCGGUCGACAAAGUCCUGCCCUAUAAAGUCCGCAUUGCUUCCGGAGUCAAUGGUGAUUGGCACGUCCAUGGUGAUUCCAUUGGGCAGCUGGAGCGACGCGGUGAGCCUCACUACUGGUUUGGGCGGGAGGGGGUCCAUGGGCUGUAAAAUCUCUGGGGACUGCUUCACUGACACGUCUGGCUGGGCCCCAGUGCCUCUUCCUCCAACCAGACUCCGUCGUUUCCCUGCUGUGGUUCUCCUUGCUGCGUUGCUGCAGUUACCAUUGCUGAAGCUGCAGUGUGCUUGUGGAGCCUCUGGGGACACUCUUUCGCCAUAUGCUGUGGAGCAUCGCAGAUGUAACACUUCCUGUUCCCUCUAGGAGGCUUCGCUUUCACUGCUGCCGGUGCUAGGGCUCUGGCUGCUGACUGAGCCCUUGCACCUCCAACCUCCAUAGGUUCCGCUCCUCCUCCUGGCGGAGGCGUGGAUUGCGCACGCGCUGCUUCUCUGGGAAGGAAGGAGGAGCCCCUGGCUGGUUCGCGCCCUCCACGCCCUUCGUCCCUGCUCCACGGACGUUCUUCCAGCCGCACCCCCACCGCCAGCGCCCUCUGAACGAUCUCCUGCGUGGUCCGGGUCUCUCCCCUCGCAAUUUCAUCUUUAACCGAGCCGUGCAAUCCCUCCCAAAACAGGUCUCUUACAGGAGCCGAAUCUCUGUCCCAUUCCAGAGCACUGACCAAAGCGAAAAAGCGGGCAUGGUACUGCCUUACGCUGGCCCUCCCUUGCUUCAGUCCAUGUAUCUGCUGCCGAGCAAGAUCCACGUCAAUGCUUGAUAAAAAGCACCCAUCCAUCGCUUUAAUAAAGGCAUCCGCAUUUUGGAGCGCCGGAUCCUUAUCUCUCCACAAAUUGCGCAGCCAUGCUUUAGCAUCUCCAUGCAAAUGGGACAUGAUGAAUCCCACCUUCUCUUGCUCAUCUCUAAAGUCUUUGUCCAGCAGUUGCAGUGCACACAUUACAUCUGCUCUAAAGUUGGGGUACUGUUGCAAAUUCCCAUCGAAGUGAGAGACCAGACCGCCUGUUCGUCUCCCCAACCCAAUCCCCCCGGUUUGGGUGUCAGUUGCCCUUGCUUCGUAAGCACUUCCAACCUGACCUGGAGAUCCCUGUAGGCGGCAGCUGCGUCCUCCUCUCUCUUCCUGGAUGCAAGAGCCUCGGCAUUCAGUCGUGACACUGCUUCUCUGAGUUCCGCUAUCUGCUGUUCGGCCGUCAUAUUGUCUGCCUUUCGUGAGCUCGCUAGUAGGCACCCGCUUUCUCUCCUCUCCGCGAGGCUGUAGAUGCCCACAAUUUAUAGAGACGGAGCUUACUGUCAGAGCUGCUUCCAGAUCCUAGCUCACAGAGGAUCACGCUAGCCAGCGAUCAUUAAACAAAAGUCUUUAUUGAGUUACAGUUUCCAUUCUCAAACUGCUGCGUGCAACUCUACGUCUCAUGGUUAGACCGGCGAAGCUCCGUCUGAGUCUCCGCCCUUGUACACCAACUUAAUAUCCUAGCCCUGCUCCACCUUUUCCGCCUGACUGUUCUUCUCUGGGUCCCUCUGCCCCCUGGGGUCUCUUCUUUCUGGGAUUCCUCUGACGCUGACGCUCCUGACUCUUCUCCCUCCUUUCGGCGGGCUUUAGGACCUGGCUCCCUUUCCGGGCUGCCUACUGUGCCACCUUCCUGUGCAUUUGAACUUGGCGCGCGCCCAACCUUCCACCUUCCGUCUGACCGUUUCUUCGCUCCCCGAUGGAGGUGUGGCCACUCCUGACUCGUGCCCUCCCCCCUGUUGUGAGCUGCCAGCGCUUGAUCCCUGGCUCCCUUCCUCUUCCCUGCUCUCUGGCGGUGACGCUGGUCCCGAUUUCCAACUGC